rnacentral:rRNA from 1 species
GUGGGGAAUCUUCCGCAAUGGACGAAAGUCUGACGGAGCAACGCCGCGUGAGUGAAGAAGGUUUUCGGAUCGUAAAGCUCUUUCGUUAGGGACGAACGUGCUCUUUGUGAAUAAUGAGGAGUAAUGACGGUACCUAAAUAAGAAGCCACGGCUAACUACGUGCCAGCAGCCGCGGUAAUACGUAGGUGGCAAGCGUUGUCCGGAAUUAUUGGGCGUAAAGCGCGCGCAGGCGGGAUAUCAAGUCUGUCUUAAAAGUGCGAGGCUCAACCUCGGAAGGGGACAGAAACUGGUAUUCUUGAGUGUCGGAGAGGUAAGUGGAAUUCCAAGUGUAGCGGUGAAAUGCGUAGAGAUUGGGAAGAACACCAGUGGCGAAGGCGACUUUCUGGACGAUGUCUGACGCUGAGGCGCGAAAGCUAGGGGAGCGAACGGGAUUAGAAACCCUAGUAGUCC